rnacentral:rRNA from 1 species
CCUACGGGUGGCAGCAGUGGGGAAUAUUGCACAAUGGGCGAAAGCCUGAUGCAGCAACGCCGCGUGGGCGAUGAAGGCCUUCGGAUCGUAAAGCCCUGUUCUUAAAGAAGAUAAUGCCGGUACUUGACGAUUAAGCACCGGCUAACUACGUGCCAGCAGCCGCGGUAAUACGUCGGGGGCUCGUGUUAUCCGGAAUUACUGUGCGUAAAGGGUGCGUAGGUGGUUUCUUAAGUCAGAGGUGAAAGGCUACGGCUAAACCGUAGUAAGCCUUUGAAACUGGGGGACUUGAGGGCAGGAGAGGAGAGUGGAAUUCCUGGUGUAGCGGUGAAAUGCGUAGAUAUUAGGAGGAACACCAGUUGCGAAGGCGGCCUGCUGGACCGUAACUGACGUUGAGGCUCGAAAGCGUGGGGAGCAAACAGGAUUAGAUACCCGUGUAGUC